GCGCGUCGUAUCGUGUGCUGUGUGUAGCGUGCGCAACCCACCGACUGGCGAGAGAGGAUCAAUCCCCCAAUCAACCGUCUGUGUAUGUUUGCUCCUCCAUUGGCGGCCUAGGUUUCCAUUGUCAUCGGUAAAGAGGUGGAUUUUCUAUUGAUUGGAGUUGUUGAUAUGUAAAACAAGCCACCCGAGUAACGGUGCUGGGCUAUCCUGUAAGACGUUAGUUCUUGGCUGUGGAAAAUCAUGUCUGUGUUUGUCAUCAUAAAAUCGUAUUUUGUGACGAUAUGAAAAGUCGGAGGAACAAUUAAAUUGUUGAGAACUUUUCUAUGUAUACUGUUUUGGAUUUACAUUUACGAGGCACAAAUUUGUGAAGUUGUAGGAAGGAUGUUGGAGAUUUUUUUUUCAAUCGCGGCAUGAUUAUCCUGAGUCUUCGUGAGUCUGAUUGACGAGAGCGAAGCGGCAAUGGGGACUCCCGAGAAAGAUUCCCGGCGGUGAAUCUGCAACAGAUGCGCUGACAAGCGAGACGGGAAAUCGGAACCGACAUCGAUCUGCAUAUAAUAUCGGGCUGGAUUUGUGCGAAAAGGAAAUUGUUUUAAGCGCAUUGCUGUCACGGCACAGGUAAUCCAAAAUGGGCAACUCUCAAUCAGAUGGGACGCUUGUACGUCAUUACACAAACUAUAGCAAUGGCUAUGUUGUGGAGUUGUUACCUUCAAAUAAACAACCCUGCCAGAGCUGGUUACUGUUGCCAGCAGAAAACUUGUGGCCGGUUCCUCUGCGCGGCAUACUUUACAUUACCGCCAUGCUGUACAUCUUUGUUGGAAUUGCCAUCGUGAGUGACAUCUUCAUGUGUAGCAUCGAGAUGAUCACCAGCAAGAAGAGGAAGAUCCUGCGCUGGGACGCAGAGAGCAAGAAGCACGUGGAGAAGGAGGUGCUGAUCUGGAACGAGACGGUCGCCAAUUUGACACUCAUGGCCCUGGGGAGCAGCGCUCCUGAGAUCCUCCUGAACAUCGUGGAGACCUGCACACACUUGCAUGAGUAUGACCCUGACAACCCCACCGACAGCCUGGGGACAUUCACCAUCAUUGGCAGCGCCGCCUUCAAUCUCCUCAUCAUCACAGCUAUAUGUGUCUCCAGUGUGCCUUCGCCUGAUGUCAAGAAAGUCAAGGAGUUUGGCGUGUUUCUAGUAACCUCUGUCUGGUCCAUCUUUGCCUACAUAUGGAUUUUGAUUGUCGUGGUCUGGAACACACCUGGCGAGGUGGAAAUUUGGGAGGCCUGGGUGACCUUGUUGUACUUUCCUUUGUUGGUUAUGAAUGCUUAUUGCCAAGACAAUGGCUGGUGGAUCAGGAGGCCCAAAGUGGGUGGGGCUGACACCCAGUCUGGUAGUCAAAUGAAUGUUCGUGUAGUGAACGGCAAUGUGAAGAAGCACCUUGUGUUCCACGGACCUUCGCCACAGCUUGCUGCCUUAGAAGCAGAAAGAUCACAAAGUCAAAUGAACUUGAAGACCGCAGCCGAUGAACGGACCAAUGAUAUGCUAGUCUUAAAGGAUUUGGAGGCAGCCCCUGAAGAUGGAAGAACAGAAAGAACAGAAGAAGAAAAGAAACAAUUGGCCAGAGCAAGAUUUCGGCACGCUGCUGUCCGCUCCAUCCUGGGAGGUAAGAAGCGAGUCAAUGGCUAUAAGCCAUCCUCAGCCAGCCAUCCCCGCCUUGCCGAGGUGGUGGACAAAGUCCGCACGAUGCGAGACAACGACUCUGAGGUGCCCAUCACAGAGGACCUGAGGGGGAAAUUUACAUUUGCUGCAUCCAGUUACUCCGUCCUGGAGAGUGCCGGCAAACUGGAUGUCGAGGUGCUGUUCCACAGAACCAUUCCGAAGAAUGGUGGGGCAUUAAUGGAAAAUGGAAAAGCCUCCACGUAUGAGGUACCAAGACGAAAACAGCAAGAAAGAGGAGGAUGGCUACAUCAACUCGGUCGUCAGCAUAGCCUAUGAGACAAGAGAAGGAACAGCCAAAUAUGAAACUGAAUUCCAAUACACACAAGGAGUCUUGGUCUUUCAAGAGACGGAGUGGCGUAAAACCAUCUCCAUUCCCAUCAUCAAUGACAACCAGUAUGAAAGCAACAUGGAUUUCUACA
rnacentral:misc_RNA from 1 species